rnacentral:rRNA from 1 species
AAUAUUUGACAAUGGGCGAAAGCCUGAUCCAGCCAUGCCGCGUGUGUGAAGAAGGNCUNNGGAUUNGNAAGCACUUUAAGUUGNNNNNGAGGGUUGUAGGUUAAUACCCUGCACUUUUGACGUUACCAACAGAAUAAGCACCGGCUAACUUCGUGCCAGCAGCCGCGGAAAGACGAAGGGUGCAAGCGUUAAUCGGAAUUACGGGGCGUAAAGCUCGCGUAGGUGGUUCGUUAAGUUGGAAGUGAAAGCCCCGGGCUUAACCUGGGAAUUGCUUUCAAAACUGACGAGCUAGAGUACGGUAGAGGGUAGUGGACUUUCCUGUGUAGCGGUGAAAUGCGUAGAUAUAGGAAGGAACAUCAGUGGCGAAGGCGACUACCUGGACUGAUACUGACACUGAGGUGCGAAAGCGUGGGGAGCAAACAGG